GCUCACUUUGGCAGCACACAUACUAAAACUGGAAUGAUACAGAGAAGAUUAGCGUGGCCCCUGCACAAGGAUAACAUGCGUGAAGUGUUCCAUGUAUUU
rnacentral:snRNA from 1 species